rnacentral:rRNA from 1 species
UACAGAGGGUGCAAGCGUUAAUCGGAAUUACUGGGCGUAAAGCGUGCGCAGGCGGCGCGUUAAGACAGGUGUGAAAGCCCCCGAGCUUAACUUGGGAAUUGCGCUUGUGACUGGCGUGCUGGAGUGUGGCAGAGGGAGGUGGAAUUCCACGUGUAGCAGUGAAAUGCGUAGAGAUGUGGAGGAACACCGAUGGCGAAGGCAGCCUCCUGGGCCAGCACUGACGCUCAUGCACGAAAGCGUGGGGAGCAAACAGG